UGUGACAGUGUGACAGUGUCGCCGGGCUGUGGGCACGGGCACUGUGACACUGUGACACUGUGACAGUGUCGCCGGCAGGUGAGUCAUCAUCUCUCUGGGCCUAUUUCUGAGUCCCAGCAGGAAAAGCAGAACCCAGCCUUUCAUUCCUCAGUGCCACCAGCUCAGCAGACAUCACGCUGUACUGUGCAAAACCGAAAUGGCCAUGGAGACAAUGGUGGGCUGGUCCCUCCUGCUUUCCUCUGGCACGAUGUCUCACGGAGCUGGCCAGGCACUGCACCCCAGUGCCAGGAGCAUCAUUGCCAGCUCAUCCCUGAAUUGCAGGUCAGGAACAAAGGCCAAAUUAACUGGAAGGGAUUACCCCAGGUGGGAUUUUCAAUCAGCUUCGGCAGUUUAGAAGCAGCUGUUCCGGCGUCCUCGAAAAUCAGUUUCAUGCUUUGAGAACAAACCAUCCCGAAUCCAUCAGCCCAGAGCCACGAUGGCAAAGGGCUGCCCUGCUCCCUGACGGUGCCCAGUGCCAGGGAAGCAGCAUGUUCCCGGGGCUACUGCACAGGGAAUCAUCUGGACCUCUGGGAUCUGCUCCUAGUUUUCUCAUGAUGUUGGGGAAGACACUUCAAUUCUCCCCCUUUCUAAAAUGUCUUGCCCAGCCCACCUGUCCCAGCUGGGACAGGGAUAUUUCAGACAAUGCAAAGCACAAAGCACCAGGAUCCUGCCUGAACUUUUCAGAUGUUACUGUAGAAGAAAUCAUCACCAUUUCCAGACAAAAACAUGGCUUAUACACUUCCAGGCACGACCAUGGCGCAUCAGGCAAGGUCCCUACUGAUAUCCCUGCUCCUAAACUUCUCCCCUUUCUUCAUCCCUGCAACCUGUGCUGUGUGCAGUGUUUGUACAAUCAUUUCUCACGUCAUGGGGUGCCAGUUUUCUUCUCUUGCUACAGCACAGAUAAAGCUCAGGAGGUAUCUCCAGCCCACAUACAAACUGCUUUUUCUGUUUCACUUCCCGUUGCUGCAAAUCAACGGAUACACAGAGCCAGCCAAUAACAGGGAUGGAUAUUGCACCUUCAACAUUGUCCCCAUCAAAUGGAGAACAGCAGCAUUUGGAAAUGGCACUUUCCAGAGCAUCAGUUCAGUUUGAACAAGUUCUGGCUGCAUUUACCACUCCCCCUGGAUUUCAGUGACAGGGAACAAACAGCAGCACACAGACAAGCACCUGAGAUCUGUCCGUGUUCCGAUUUUACAGGAGUUUAAUUAAAGGUAUGGAUUUGCCUCCUG